GGGGGUAUAGCUCAGCUGGGAGAGCACCUGCCUUGCAAGCAGGGGGUCAGCGGUUCGAUCCCGCUUACCUCCACCA
rnacentral:tRNA from 25 species